UAACACAGGAAGCACCUCUAGUGACCGUCUGAGUGACUGUCACUAGCAGUGUCACUUUGAAGCAAUGUAAACACUGCCUUUUGUCUGAAAAGUCAGUGUUUACGUUGAAAAGCCUGUAGGGACAUGCUAUAGACACCAGUACCACCACAUUAAGCUGUGUGUGUGCGUCUGCUAGUGAGUGAGCUUGCUUGCAUGCGUGUGCCUGCUAGUGAGUGAGCU